AAAGUCGUAACAAGGUAACCGUAGGUGAACCUGCGGUUGGAUCAUUAAAAAAAAUCCAAAAUGGAGAUGCUGUCUAGGCAGACAUUUCCAUGGUUAUUGGUCACUCGGCAAGGGUCUUUUAGAUUUUUUCUGAUGAUCAGUAUACCGAUCUACCCCAUGUGAAUUGUACUGUCUCUGGCGGCCGGGUACAAUAGUAAGUCUCCAUACAAAUUGUGUGGAGGCUGAUUCGUGCCUGUCAGCUUGUGGAGGAAACUCUCAGGCCGUGGACAAACCGCCAACCACUUGAUGUUAUCAACUCAACUACCUAAUCUUUUUUUUUAUGUCUGACAAAACUUUUUUGUAAAAUAAUACAAAAACAACUUUUGGCAACGGAUCUCUUGGCUCUC
rnacentral:misc_RNA from 1 species